AUAAGAUAGUUUCAUUUAUUUUGUGGGCUUGUAUGUUUUAGAAAUGGUAGCCCAUGGGUAAAAAUGGGGGAUUAAAAUACCAUCUUAGCCCAUGUGAAAAUUGACAAGUUUUAGCCCCACUUUAUUCUCAUUUCUAUUUAAGCUUGAGGGGUAUCUUGGUAAUCACAUUGGCUCCUCCUUUCCUUAAUUCACGCAUCUCUCUCCCAUUUUCCCCACUUGUUGACUUUUCUCACUUAAGGAUAGGGCCCACACUUGUUUCCUUUCUUUUUGGUUUCACAUGGCUCACUCUUCUUACACGUGAUUCCCAUCAAUAAACAAAGACAAACAAAAACAAGCAGCACACUUCUCUCCCUCCCACUUCUUCUCUCUCUUCCUUUUCUCCUUCUUUUUCUCUUUUCCCCUUUUCUCUCCCCCUGUUUCACGGCAGCAGCAGCCCUCACCAUUUCUUUUCUCUUCUUCCUCCCUUCUCCCUUGUCACGCACGCACAGCAGCUCGCCUCUUCUCUUUCCCUUCCCUUUCUUCUUCCUCUUCUCUCACUCGCACUCACGCACGCAUAGCAACCCAUGAGAGAGCCCGAAGUGCAGAAAUGCCGAGAGAGAGAACAGAUCGUGAGAGAGAGAUUUUGAAAUGGAAGCUGUCCAGCCAUGGGUAGAAGAAGAAAAGAUGGGGUUUUUGGCCAUGGACGUCUGGUGAGGAUCGUGUUAUAAUUGGAGACUUCAAUGGGUUCUCCAAUGUAGAGUCCAAAUGACUAGAGUCCAAGGAGUGUUCGAGUUGGAGUCUAAUGCAGCCAAGAUGAUGUUUCUUUGGCUGCAGGUACUACGGUAUAGUCGAUGGGUCGGUAGCAGUGUGCUUGGGAUAUUAUGACUGAAGCUCACCGCGACAGUUGUAAUUGUCGGAUCACGGGUUGUCCACUAUUUUAUAGGUUUGGUAUGGCUUGUGACGUUUGUGUCACUUAUUCUUUGUUAAGCCAUUAUUGUUAUUGUGUUAAUAAGACUUAAGCAUAUAGAUGUUAAAUGGCUCUUUGUUGUAAUUAACUUAUGAUAGAUGUAUAAGUUGUAAUUUCCGCUAUUCAAAUUUA